rnacentral:rRNA from 1 species
CAGCAACGCCGCGUGGAGGAGUGAAGGUUUUCGGAUCGUAAACUCCUGUUGCUCGGGACGAAAAGCCUCGACCUAACACGUCGAGGUCUGACGGUACCGAGUGAGGAAGCCCCGGCUAACUCUGUGCCAGCAGCCGCGGUAAUACAGAGGGGGCAAGCGUUGUUCGGAAUUACUGGGCGUAAAGGGCGCGUAGGCGGCCCGCUAAGUCGAACGUGAAAUCCCCGAGCUCAACUCGGGAACUGCGUCCGAUACUGGCGGGCUUGAAUCCGGGAGAGGGAUGCGGAAUUCCAGGUGUAGCGGUGAAAUGCGUAGAUAUCUGGAGGAACACCGGUGGCGAAGGCGGCAUCCUGGACCGGCAUUGACGCUGAGGCGCGAAAGCUAGGGGAGCAAACGGGAUUAGAUACCCCGGUAGUCCUAGCCCUAAACGAUGAAUGCUUGGUGUGGCGGGUAUCGAUCCCUGCCGUGCCGAAGCUAACGCAUUAAGCAUUCCGCCUGGGGAGUACGGUCGCAAGGCUG